CGCGUAGGCGGAUACUUAAGUCUGGUGUGAAAACCUAGGGCUCAACCGUGGAGGGUCAUUGGAAACUGGGAGACUUGAGUGCAGAAGAGGAAAGUGGAAUUCCAUGUGUAGCGGUGAAAUGCGUAGAGAUAUGGAGGAACACCAGUGGCGAAGGCGACUUUCUGGUCUGUAACUGACACUGAGGCGCGAAAGCGUGGGGAGCAAACAGGAUUAGAUACCCUGGUAGUCCACGCCGUAAACGAUGAGUGCUAAGUGUUAGAGGGUUUCCGCCCUUUAGUGCUGAAGUUAACGCAUUAAGCACUCCGCCUGGGGAGUACGGCCGCAAGGCUGAAACUUAAAAGAAUUGACGG
rnacentral:rRNA from 1 species